GACCCUAUAGAGUUUUAUAUUUAAUUAAAAAUUAUUUUUUAGAAUUUAAUAUUAAUUUAUUUAUUAAAUAUUUGAUUGGGGUGAUUGAAAAAUUUAAGUAACUUUUUUUAUAUAUAAACAUUAAUAUAUGACUAUUUGAUCCAUUAUUUAUGAUUACAAGAUUAAAUUACCUUAGGGAUAACAGCGUAAUUUUUUUUAAGAGUUCAAAUCGAAAGAAAAGAUUGCGACCUCGAUGUUGGAUUAAAAUUUAUUUUUGGUGUAGAAGCUAAAUUAAUUGGGUCUGUUCGACCUUUAAAAUUUUACAUGAUCUGA
rnacentral:rRNA from 1 species